CCUACGGGAGGCAGCAGUGGGGAAUAUUGGACAAUGGGGGGAACCCUGAUCCAGCCAUGCCGCGUGUGUGAAGAAGGCCCUCGGGUUGUAAAGCACUUUCAGUGAGGAAGAACGCCUGGUGGUUAAUACCCAUCAGGAAAGACAUCACUCACAGAAGAAGCACCGGCUAACUCCGUGCCAGCAGCCGCGGUAAUACGGAGGGUGCGAGCGUUAAUCGGAAUUACUGGGCGUAAAGCGCGCGUAGGUGGCUUGAUAAGCCGGUUGUGAAAGCCCCGGGCUCAACCUGGGAACGGCAUCCGGAACUGUCAAGCUAGAGUGCAGGAGAGGAAGGUAGAAUUCCCGGGGUAGCGGUGAAAUGCGUAGAGAUCGGGAGGAAUACCAGUGGCGAAGGCGGCCUUCUGGACUGACACUGACACUGAGGUGCGAAAGCGUGGGUAGCAAACAGGAUUAGAUACCCCAGUAGUC
rnacentral:rRNA from 1 species